rnacentral:misc_RNA from 1 species
AGUGAUGGGCAUCGUAGAU